rnacentral:tRNA from 1 species
GCGGGAGUAGCUCAAUGGCAGAGCGCUUGCCUUCCAAGCAAGAUACGCGAGUUCGAUUCCCGUCUCCCGCUCCA